UGGGGAAUAUUGCACAAUGGGCGGAAGCUUGAUGCAGCGACCCGCGUGGGGGAUGAAGGCCUUCGGGUUGUAAACUCCUUUCGACAGGGACGAAGCUUUUGUGACGGUACCUGUAUAAGAAGCACCGGCUAACUACGUGCCAGCAGCCGCGGAAAUACGUAGGGUGCGAGCGUUGUCCGGAAUUACUGGCCGUAAAGAGCAANUAGGUGGUUUGUCGCGUCGUCUGUGAAAUUCCGGGGCUUAACUCCGGGCGUGCAGGCGAUACGGGCUGACUUGAGUGCUGUAGGGGAGACUGGAAUUCCUGGUGUAGCGGUGAAAUGCGCAGAUAUCAGGAGGAACACCGAUGGCGAAGGCAGGUCUCUGGGCAGUAACUGACGCUGAGGAGCGAAAGCUUGGGUAGCGAACAGGAUUAGAUACCCUGGUAGUCCAUGCCGUAAACGGUGGGCGCUAGGUGUAGGGGGCUUCCACGUCUUCUGUGCCGUAGCUAACGCAUUANNCGCCCCGCCUGGGAGUACGGCCGCAAGCUA
rnacentral:rRNA from 1 species